GAUGAACGCUAGCUACAGGCUUAACACAUGCAAGUCGAGGGACCGGCGAACGGGUGAGUGACACGUACCCAACCUGCCCUUUACUCGGGGAUAGCCUAUCGAAAGAAAGAUUAAUAACCGAUGAAAAGGAUGGGGAUGCGUUCCAUUAGGUUGUUGUAGAGGUAACGGAUCACCAAGCCCUCUAUGGAUAGGGGUUCUGAGAGGAAGUACCCCCAGAUUGGAACUGAGACAAGGUCCAAACUCCGACUGGAAGCAGGAGUGAGGAAGAGUGGUGGAGGAGCGUUAGCCUGAACCAGCCAAGGAGCGUGAAGGAUGAAGGCUUAUGGGUCGUAAACUUCUUUUAUAUAAGAAUAUGUAUUAUAUGAAUAAGGAUCGGCUAACUCCGUGCCAGCAGCCGCGGUAAUAC
rnacentral:rRNA from 1 species